GAAGACUACAUUUCACAAAGCCAUGCUAUUGAUGGCUAAGCCUGUUCUUGGUAUUUGAGUCUCUGACACAAUGCUAAUCGUAACAAUCUGCAUUUGUAGACACUGAAUCGAUGGUGAAUGCACAGAAGUGCUAAUCAUCUGAAUGCUAAUAUAACUAUGUCCAAAUAUUUGUAUGUAGACAUCAUUUCAUUGUAAAUUGUUUUAAAAACUGCUUUAUAUUACUAUUCGGGCAUUAUGCUGAUUAAAAAAAAAUUAUGUGUAGGUACGUUAAAUAAUUAUUGUAUUUAAGGAUAGUAACAGGAGUGUUAAAAAUACUUGUUAUAUAAAGUAGGUGUUUUAGAUAUAAUUCACUCACAUUUGGUCAUCUUUUGCUGUGGUGCUGAGGUGUUGGUUAAUUUUGCGUCACCUUGGCUAGGCGAUGGUGUUUAGUUGUUUGGUCAAACACCAGUCUGGAUGUUGCUGUGAAGGUAUUUUUUAGAUGUAAUCAACAUUUAAAUCAGUAAUUUAGUAAUUUGAGUAAUGCAGAUUAUCCUCCAUAAUAUGGAUGGGCCUCAUCGAUCAGUUGAAGGCCUUAAGAGCAAAGACUGAGAGUUCCCAAAGAAGGAAUACUGCAUAAGACUAACAUGGGGGGCAUCUGACUGGCUCAGUCUGUAGAGCAUGCAACUUUUGAUCUCAGGGUUAUUUAAGUUCCAGCCCCACAUUGGGUGAAGAGAUUACUUAAAAAAAAAAAAAACCAGAAACCUUGCCUGAGUUUCCAGCUUGUAGAUUUUUUUUUUUAAAGCAAUCUCUAUAUCCAAAGUGGGGUUGAACUUACAACUCCGAGAUCAGUUGUCACAUGCUCCACCUAUUGAGCCAGCCAGGCACCGCUCUAGCCUGUAGAUCUUGAAUUAUGUCAUCCAUCUUACCUGAAUUUCCAGCCUGCUAGCCUGCCCUACACAUUUCAGACUUGCCAGUCCCUACAAUAUGUGAGCCAAUUCCAUAAAAUAAGUCUCUCACUCUCACUUUUGUUUCUCUAACCUGUUGGUUCCCUUUCUCUGGAGAACUCCAGUAGAGCAAAUGACAUACCUGAUAAAGGGUUAGUAUCCAAAACAUAAAGAACUUAUAAAACUCAACACUCUGGGUGCCUGGCUGUCUCAGUUGGCAAAGCUUGCAGCUCUUGAUCUUGGGAUUAUAAGUAAGUUCAAGCCCGACAUUGACAUUGAGUAUAGAGAUUACUUAAAAACAAAACAAAAACUCACCACCCCCCAAAACAAUCCAAUUAAAAAAUGGGCAAAAGACAUGAAUAGACAUUUUUUCAAAGAAGACAUUCACAUGGCCAACAGACACAUGAACAGAUGCCCAACAUGACUUACUUAUCAGAGAAAUGCAAAUCAAAACUACAAUGAGCAAACCUUACACCUGUCACAAUGGCUAAAAUCAACAAGAAACGAGGUGCUGGCGAGGAUGUGGAGAAGGGAAUUCUCUUGCACUGUUGGUGGGAAUGCAAACUGGUGUAGCCACUCUGGAAUACAGUAUGGAGGUUCCUCAAAAAGUUAAAAAUAGAACUACCCUAUGAUCCAGCAGUUGCAUUACUAGGGUUUUUUUUUUUUAGUGUUUAUUUAUUUAGAGUGCACAAGCAUGAGUGGGGGAGGGACAGAGAGAAAGGGAGGGCUAGAUUCCCAAUCAGGCUCUGUGAUGUCAGCGUGGUGCCUGAUGUGGAGCUUGACCCCAUGAACUGUGAGAUCAUGACCUGAGCUGAAAUCAAGAGUCGGACACUUAACGGACUCAGCCACCCAGGUGCCCCUGCACUACUAGGUAUUUGCUCAAAGAAUACAAAAGCACAGAUUCAAAGGGAUACAUGCACCCUAAUGUUUAUAGCAGCAUUAUCUACAACUGCCAAAUUAUGCAAACAGCCCAAGUGUCCAUCAGUGAUGAACGGAUAAAGAUAGGGCACGCACGUGCGCACACACACACACACACACACACACACACAAUGGAAUGUUACUCAGCCAUAAAAAAAGAAUGAAAUCUUGCCAUUUGUAAGACAUGGAUGGAGCUAGAGAAUAUUAUGCUAAGCAGAAGAAUAAGUCAUAGAAAGACUAUGUGAUUUCACUCGUGGAAUUUAAGAAACAAAUGAGCAAAGGAAAAAAAAGAAACCAAGAAACAGACUCUUAGCUGUAGAGAACAAAGUGAUGGUUACCAGAGGGUAGGUGGGUAGGGGGAUGGGUGAAAUAGGAAGUGGGGAUUAAGGAGUGCACUUGGGGUGAUGAGCACUGGGUGUUAUAUGAAAGUGUUGAAUCACUAUAUUCUAUACCUGAAACUAAUAUACUGUAUGUUAACUAGCUGGAAAUAAAAAAAAAAUUUUUUUUAAUGUUUAUUCUUGAGAGAGAGGGAGACAGAGCAUGAGUGGGGGAGGGUCAGACAGAGAAAGGGAGACACAGAAUCUGAAACUGGCUCCAGGCUCCUAGCUAUCAGCACAGAGCCUGACGCAGGGCUCAAACUCACAAACCGCGAGAUCAUGACCUGAGCCAAAGGGGAAUACUUAACUGACUGAAUCACCCAGGUGCCUCUAACCAGCUGGAAUUUAAAUAAAAACUUACAAAAAAAAUCUCUAAUAGAACAGAUAAUGCCAAUAUGUAGCUGUCCAGUGCUUCUUUACCUCUAAUUGUCUGACGGUCAUUUUCACUUGGAGCACCCACUGUCAUUUCAAAUGUAGCUUGUCGAAACCGUCAAGCAAUUGUUAAGUCUUUAUGGAGCAUAAACUGUAUUUAAUUAAGAAGAAUAGACAUAUUUGCUGUCAAGGUGAAUACCAUCAAGUUCAUGAGAUAUUACACUAAAUGGACUGAAUUAAAAGACAAAGACUAAUAGAUUGGGUUAAAAAAGCAAAUCCAAGUUGUAGGUAGUUUCUAAUAAACAUUAAUAAGGAGAAAUUGCAAAUAGAUGGCUAAGACAUUCCUGAAGAACAUAGACAGAUGUAAGUAGUGACAAUAUUAAGAAAAAUACUAAACCAUAAAGUGAUCAUUUGCUAAUGUAAAGAAAAAUAACUUGAGAAGAAAGGAUGAUCAUAAAUUUGUUUGCAACAAACAACAAAGCAACUAAGAAGCGAAAGCAAAAAUUCCUAGGAAUGCAAGAACAGGAUAAAAAUAUGGUUAUAGUGAGGGACUUUAUUAUACUUUGUUUGGAACUGAACAGCACUAGAAUAAGGACUGAGAAGAAAUAAUACAACAAACCUGACAUGUGUAUGUGCAUGUAUGUGUAUAUGUAAUAUGGAACAGUUUUCCAUGACCAUAGAACACUUAGAAACAUUUGUAUUCACUAUUCCAAAACAAGUUUUAUUUUAUUAUUUUUAAGUUUAUUUAUUAUUCUGAGAGAGUGUGUGAGCAAGUGGGAGAGGGGCAGAGAGAGAGAAUCCCAAGCAGGCUCUGCCCCGUCACCGUCAGUGCAGAGCCCGAUGCGGAGCCCAAACUCACAAACUGAGAUCACGUCCUGAAGCUAAAGUGGGACACUUAACCGACUGAGCCACCUAGGUACCCCUCCAAAACAAUUUUUUAAAACAAAUCCUUAAACAAAUUUAAAGUAGGAAUCUUAAAGACUGUAUUCUCUUAUCACAUCCAAUAAAAUUAUAAAUAAAUAAUCUCAACUUGCCGGAAAUGAAAUAUUCCUGGCAACCCUUAAAGAAAAAACACAAAUUUUCAACUUAAUUUAAAGCAAUGAAACAAAGUAUUUCAUGCAGACCUUCAGAACAUAGCCCAAGCUGGUGUCAGGAGAUGUAUGCCCUUAAAUGACUUCACAAGAAACAAAAGUAGGAGUUGGACUUUAUAGAUGAGAACCACUGGCUACUGGAUCCCUGUUGUGAUAUUUAAGACCUCUUUUGUGCUCCAUAGCAACCAGUUAUGUACCCUUUCACCGCACUUUUAAUAUUUAAAUAACAGCAUUCUCUUGCUAAUGGAAAUGACAAGUUUGUAGGGUCUUUAUCAAAAAUGUAAAGUGUCUAUACGCUUACCUACCUAUUUCACUGCUAAGCCUCUAGGCCUUAUAAGUAUUCAUACAACCGCACAGCGUAUUUGUAUAAGGAUAUUAUUUGCAAUAUUUUAAUCUUUUUUUAAACAAAUUUCUAAUGUUUAUUUUUGAGAGAGCACAAGCAGGGGAGGGGCAGAGAGAAGGGGACAGAGGAUCCAAGGCAGACUGCAUGCUGACAGCAGUGAGCCCAAUGUGGGGCUCAAACCCACGAACCGUGAGAUCGUGGCCUGAGCCGAAGAAAGAUGCUCAACCCACUGAGCCACCCAGGUGCCCCAUAACAAAGAGUGUUAAAUAAGUUAAAGAAUAAUGGUAUACCACAAAGUGGAAUGUUGAUCAGUCAAAACUAGCAGAAUAUGUGUAGUAUGAUCUCAUUUUUGCUUUAAAAGGAACAUUUGUAUACAUGUGGUUAUCUGAUAAGUGGUUUUGGAAGGCUGUAUACCAAGCAUUCAUAGUUAUUGGGGCAAAUGGAGAGGUCAUGUACUUUCUUAAUUCCUUUUUUGACGAUGAGCACAUAUAUAUAGCUUGUAUAAUAAAAAUAUCUGUUGAGUUUCAAACAUAUACAAAAGCUGAGGGAAUAGAAAUAAAACCUUUAUACCCAUCCCUCAGUUUUAACUGUUAUCAACUUAUUGCCACGCUUGCUUCAAAAAUAGUUACUGGGUUUUUUUUUGUUCAAGGAAAAAGAUGUUUAUUUGUAUCAUAUCUACUAGUCUGUAAGCUUUUUUUUUUUUUUUAAUUUUUUUUUUUUCAACGUUUAUUUAUUUUUGGGACAGAGAGAGACAGAGCAUGAAUGGGGGAGGGGCAGAGAGAGAGGGAGACACAGAAUCGGAAACAGGCUCCAGGCUCCGAGCCAUCAGCCCAGAGCCUGACGCGGGGCUCGAACUCCCGGACCGCGAGAUCGUGACCUGGCUGAAGUUGGACGCUUAACCGACUGCGCCACCCAGGCGCCCCAGUAAGCUUUUUUUUUUUGAAUACAUGAAUAUAUUUCCAAUGUAAAAUAUUUAAAAAAUAGAGAUAAGUAAAAGUACCCCUUGUCACUCCCUCUAUUCCUCAUCAUUUCCCUACACAGAAGUGACUAGUGUUAACCAUUUCCAGUGUGUUUAUAUGUAUGUAAAAUAUGUGGUGUGUGUUGAUUGAGUUUGCUUUUCUCUGGUUUCUUCUAUAAUUCAGAGGCCAGAGACUCAGAAGAGAGCCAGUAAUGGGCAAGGCCUGGGACACCAUGGCUCUCUACACCCUGUGUUAGUCAAGGUCAGCUUUGCUGGCAAGGUUCUAGUUUGUCCUGGGAACCCUACUGCAGGGAGGGGACAGUGAAGGAAAGUAGCCAGGCGGAGCCAUAAGAAGGAAUGCCUCUGUGACUCCGUCAGCCAAUUCCUUAUAAUAAAUUACUGUCAGUAGAGCCUUGUUGCUGCCAAUAAGUUUAGUAUUGUUUCCUAGAUGUCUUUCAUAGAGCAGUCAUUUGAGUGAAAAAAGAUCCCAAAUCUGUUUUGUUUUGUUUUCUAUAGGCCUAGGGUUUGUGGCUAAAUUUCUUGGUGAGGCCUGCUCUUCAAAAGACUAUUGAACAAGAAAAAACAACUGCAGAUGGCUGAGGUGAGGGUGGUACAGAUUGUAACCUUGCUACCUAUCAGUCUAUGUCAAUUCAUAGUCUCCUUUUCCAUUUCCUGUGCCUCUAAGGUCUCGUCCCAAUUAGAUACCCUCCCCGUGAGUAAUUUUCAAAGACUUAUUUGUUGCUUUAAACCUUUGAGGGCUCCCAUAACCUACCAUCUAAAAUUUAACUCUUCAGCAUGAAAGUCAAGGUCCUUCACUAUAUGGCCCCAAGCCAUCUUUGUAUUCUCAUCUCCCACUUUGAUCCAACUCCCAACAAGUUCCAGUUCCCUGCCAAUGCAUUAUACUUUUGAGGAACACCCGGGUGCCUCAGUGGGUUAAGCAUCUAACUCUUGAUUUCGGCCCAAGUCACGAUCUCAAGGUUCAUGAGUUUGAGCCCUGCGUUGUGCUCUCCACUGAUUGCACAGAGCUUGCUAGGGAUUCUGUCUCCCUCUCUCUCGACUCCUCCUGCAUGCGUGCAUACUCUCUCAAAAUAAAUAAUAUAUAAACACUAAAAUUUUUUUGAAAUAUCCCAAAUGUAUUUAAAGCACUAAAAAUAAAAUAUGCCAUUUACCCACCUUAUCCACAUCUUCCCUUCCCAGAGAUAAACACUAUCCAUCCUUCUGGUGCUGUAUAUGUUUCCAUACUUUUACUAUAGAAAUGCCCUUAAUAUUAUUUUGGGGUUAAAAAAAGUAAUGUUAAUGGCAUCAAAAGGGACAUAUUCUUUUGAAGCUUGCUUGCCAUUUUCACUCAACAUUGUUUUUGACAUUUAUUUAUCCAUCGUGCUGACUAAUUUUAUGUGGCAACAUGACUGGGCCACGGAGCGCCCAGAUAUUUGGUUAAACAUUCCUGGUGCGUCUGUGAGGGCUUUUCUGGAUGAGAUUAACAUUUGAAUCCAUAGACCGAAGUAAAGCCUAUUGCCCUCCCCAGUGUGGUUGGGCCUCAGUCAGUCCAUUGUCAACUGUCAACUUGAAUUAAAACAAAAAGGCAUACUAAGAGAGAAUGCUUUCUGUCCUCUUGACUGUCUUUGAACUGAGACAGUGGCCUUCCUCUGUCUUUGGACUUGGACUGGAACUUAUACCAAUGGGCUCUCUGGUUUGUCAGGCCUUCAGAAUCAGAUUGGAAAUACAUCAGCUCUCCUGGUGCUCCAACUGCUGACUUCGGAUCCUGGGACUUCUCUGCCUCCACAAACAUUAAUCUCUGUGCCUAACCCAACAUGGGGCUCGAACUCAUCACCCCGAGAUCAAGAGUAGCAUAUUCUACUGAGCCAGCAAGGCGCCCCACUGGUCUUUUUGAGCAAUUUGAGACUCCAUGUCCUCAGUGUGGCAGAUUGAAUUUUUCAAAGAUGAAAGCAGCUGUGUCUCCCAUUCUACGCGUUCUUCUGCAGUGACCUUGCUCCUCCCAUCAAGAGUUUUCACCCAUCUCCCUGACAGUGAAGCACUCCAUAUGCCUUAAUGUACACAACAACAUCUGGAAAUACUAUGACAAUCUGAAUAUUCGCUAAAUGAAAAACUACUCUGAGAUGAAUAAUGUCAUUGUUAAUUUUGCCAGGACCUCAACUACAGGUAAGUCUGGAUUAGGAAGACUGUUUUUCCAUGGCUAAAAGAAAACAGAACUAAAAGAGGAAACAUCUUCUUAGACUCAUUUAUUGCAAUCUUUAAAAAAAUUUUUUUUAAUGUUUAUUUUUGAGACAGAGAAAGAGCAUGAGCAGGGGAAGGGCAGAGACAGAGAGGGAGACAUAGAAUCUGAAGCAGGCUCCAGGCUCCAAGCUGUCAGCACAGAGACUGAUGCAGGGCUCAAACUCACGAACCGCAAGAUCAUGACCUGAGCCGAAGUCAGACGCUUAACCGACUGAGCCACCCAGGUGCCCCUUAUUGCAGUCUUUUAAAUGUUAACUGGUAGUCUCUGUAUGGGAAAUAAGGGUAUCUGAAAGUGUCUUCAACCAAAUCCUUUGUUGGUUUGGUAACAUGCAUAUAUCUGCUCAGUAUUUUUUGUGACUACUAUGCAUGUUUAUUUUUUUCUUAAUACAUAAAGCCAUAAAAUGUAGGCACUCUUUCCAGCAAUGCACAGAAAGUAAAAAAAUGUGGUGUCCAAGAGCCUUUAGAAUCGUCUGAACAUUUUCUGAAUUAGCGUAUGGAUUCAGGGAAUUGGGGAUAGAGUCACUGAAGAGGCUGAGACAGCAGAGGAGGGUUGAAGCACUUUUAAUCACACAAGAGUAAACAACAGUAUAAACCCUUAGCGGCUCGCCCAGUGGCUAUGGUCCUCUUCCAGCCCUCAGCUCACCCUCCCCCACUCCCGCUCCCUGCGUACCAUUGAGUGAAGUGCAGGGCGUCAGCAGGACCCUGUCACUACCAGGUGGUAGGAAGGGAAUCUAGCUAGGAGCCACAAAAACCCUGAUCAUCCAUCCAUGGUUAUCUGUUUCUGUACAACUUCGUGUGACUUUUAGAGCUCCGAGGAGUAACAGUGCAGAAACCUGGAGCUGAACUCUACUGUUCCAUUCGGAUGGCCAUAGCUUCAAAAGCCAUGGACAACAAGGGAAGGGACAGUCCAGAGCCAGCAUUACUCAAGAUGCAGCCAAAUCUGGGAUUGAGGUGGGUUCAAAGGGGGCACAAGGCCUACCGGCCCCAGUCUAGUAGUAUUGUGCCCCAACCCAGGAAAUGAAACUCGUGCAUAUGCACACAUGCACAUGCACACACACAUACACGUGCAGACAAACACACACACACCCACACACACACCCACAAAGCAAAUAACAUUACCGAAAGAACCGGAGGCUAUUAAAUACAAAAUGGCAGAGUUGGUUUUUUUUUUUUUUUAAGUGAAAAUAUUUGCUCUUUUGAUUCUCCUCAGUGCCCUGCAGAGCCCCUAGUCACAAGAGUGUAGGUGGGGAGGCCUGAGAGGAGCAGGUUGCCAGUGGCCCUACAAGUCCAUGUGUGCUCUAGUCCCCACACCAACCACCUUACUCUUCAGCCCAGUAGCUGCUUCCCAUGUGACCAUUCACCCGAUUGGCGCCAUUGCUGGAGCUGCUGCCACAGGGGCUUUUUGAGUUGGUGGUCGCUUCUUCUUCCUCUGAGCUGCUCUCCACAUCACUGCGAUCGUCCUUCGACACCUGCAUGGGACGGGGCCAGAAGUACGAAAGAAACAGUUCAGGCUUCGUUCUCCUUGAUGGUGUCUCUGGAAGAAGCCAAGAAGUACAAGAAAUCUUCUUUCAUACGACAGAGAUAGGUUUGUACCCUGCUUACCUGGGUGAAGCCAAGAUAAUUUUUUUAUUAUCUAGACCUUGGAGUGAACUUAAUAUCCUAGAGUCAGAAUUAGCUCAUAUCCUGACCUCAUUAGUUCACAGACUGCAAUGAAAGACAAAAUUACUAGCAUGCAGUCACAGUUAGACAAAUACAGACCCUAAGAGGAACGCCUGGAUGGCUCAUUUGGUUAAGUGUCUUGAUUUUGGCUCAGGUCAUGAUCUCAUGGUUCAUGAGACUGAGCCCCAUGUGGGGCUCUGCAGUGACAGCACAAAGCCUGCUUGGGAUUCUCUCACUCCCUCUCUCUUUGCCCCUCCCCAUUCAUUCAUUCUCUCUCUCUCUCUCUCCUCUCAAAAUAAAUAAAUAAACUUAAAAAAAAAAAAACAAGAAACAGACCCUAAGAAAAUUUAUCUAUUUGGCAAAUAUUUAUGGGGCACCUAUUUUGUGCUAUAGCAUGAAGCAUAAAACAUAAAUAAGCAUAAAACAUAACUAAGUUUGAAAAAUAAUUUUUUCCAUGAUAAAAAUUAAAUACAUAGAUUUAUGUACUUAAUGAAAUCACCUUAAUGAAGAAAGUGAAAUUAGGUAUUCAUCCUUUUUGUUAGAUAGGCAUUUACCGAACUGUACAGAUUCCUAGGGUCUCAGAGACCGUUUCAGGAGGUCUACACGGUCAAAACUAUCUCAUAAUAAUUCUAUAACUUCAUAAUAAUUCUUGUUUCUCUCACUCUCUCAUGAGUGUGCAGUGGAAUUUUCCAUGGGUUACAUGACAUUGCAAUAGACUGAAUGCAGGAGCUGACAUGAGAAUACAGGUGCCAAAUACUAGAGUGUUAAAAAAAAUGUAAAAUAAUGCUAUUCUUCUCACAUUUUAUUUUGUUUUGGAAAAUAGUUAUUUUUCAUGAAACAUUAGUUGUAUUACCAAUAUAAUCAAUUUAUUGCCAUUUGUAAAUGAAUUAAUAGAAUAUAUAUCUUUAAAAUUCCAUUUUAACUUCUAAAAUAGUACAUGUUGAUAGAUACUAUCCAUGUAAACAUAAAUUUAUGUUUGGGGUCCUUAAUAAUUUUUAAGAAUGUAAAAAUUUUUAAGAGUGUAAAAGAUUCCUGACAUCAUAGUUUGAAACUGCUGUUGAUGGCAGUGAGAAAUCACAUUUAUCUUGUGAUUUUCUGUCCUCUACAGGAUCAAUUUGUCGCCCAAGUUUUAAAAUAAUUAAAAAAAAAUUUUUUUUAGUGUUCAUUUUUGAGAGGGAGAGAGCAUGAGCAGGGGAGGGGCAGAGAAAGAGGUGGAUACAGAAUCUGAAGCAGGCUCCAGGCUCUGAACCGUCAGCACAGAGCCCGACACGGGGCUCGAACUCACAAACCGUGAGAUCAUGACCUGAGCCAGAGCUGGACGCUUAGCUAAGCCACCCAGGUGCCCCUAA